CAGAGUUAUCCAGCUCCCAAACCCAUGUGAACUUAUCUCUUUGUUGCCUCGGCGCAAGCUACCCGGGACCUCGCGCCCCGGGCGGCCCGCCGGCGGACAAACCAAAACUCUUGUUACCUUAGUUGAUUAUCUGAGUGUCUUAUUUAAUAAGUCA
rnacentral:misc_RNA from 1 species